rnacentral:lncRNA from 1 species
CGUUAAUUAGAUCCAACGGAUCCCAACGUUAACAUUGGCGCCGUCUGUGGGAAGCCAACACAAAGGCUUCGUCACUUACCAUUGAGUUAAGUCAUAUUAACCGAGCUCAAAAUAAUUUCUUUCUUUGAGUUAUAUAAUUGAAAUUCUUAGCGGUAACUUGUGCCAUCGGGGCCGGUCAACGCCCAACAUGGCUGGUCAACUCCGGUCAACGGCCAUCAGGCUCAGUCAACGCCCAUGGACCAGUCAAUGCUUGGUCAACGCCAGCUCAAAUAGUCUCCGCUGAACUACAAAAAAAAAAAAAAAAAAAAAUUUGGGGCGAGUCUUCUCUGGACACCCAGAGAUUUGCUCUGGACACCCCAGAGAUCUAGUAUGGGACUUUGGCGCUCUCAAUCAUCAUCGGGGCUGGCCACUGUGAUCUCGCUCAAUCAUCAUCAAUAGCUACUUGAGCAUGCCAUCACAACAGCAGCGGCGCCAACACGCCAGCACUAGCGGCACGAGUCAGCGUCCAAGCUCUUUGUUCAGCGCUCAUGCCUUCUGUCAGCUGCAAUCCCAACUUCCUCCGCUCCGCUAAGCACCGCCAGCAAGCUCUACUGCUACCGCCAGUAGGCCAUCCUCCGCCGGAGAGGAUCGCUAGCCAACCUCCAACGGAAAAUCUUCCGCCACACUGUACAAUCUUUGGUGCACCAUCUGCAGAGCAAUCCACCGCCAUCUCCCGCUAGCAAAUCUCAGCGGCAAAACCUCCGCUGAACUUCUCCACCGCUGGUCUUCCACCGUCGAACUGUACACCGCUGACCCCAAAAAUAUGCUCUGGGCACCCAGUAGACAUCUCGGCUCGUUGCUUAGCCUCUGCCAAGCGAGCACCGCCAUACUGUGCACCGCCGACUGUACACCGCCGAACUACCAUCAAACAGGUUGCAGUCCGGUCCAGGUCUCCACCACCCCCCGCUAACAAACAACACGGCCAGACUCCUUCCGCUGGCAACAUCUGCUAGCCUGGCUCGCCGGACUCCCUCUGCUGAGAAAAACCACCGCUGGGCACCAAGCUCUCCGCUGAGCUCCGAGUUUCCGCCACACUUCGCUCCGCUAAGCUUCUCCUCCGCCGACCAAAGCUCUAUUAACGAAGCCUGCUAGCUAAGCUCCGCUCCGCUCCGCUCUGCCGAACUUCUCCUCCGCUGGACUGUUCAUCGCUGAGCAGCACCUCCCUGAGCACCAUGUCUCCGCUGAGCUCCGAGCUCAUAGCUGAACUCCAGGUAUCCGCUGAGAUCAGAACCUCCGCUGAACUCCAACUCUCCGCCAAGCUCCGAGUGGCUGCUGAGCUCUAUGUCUCCGCUGAACCCCAAGUAUCGCUACCUAAUACCUGCCAGCACGCCAUCCUAGCUCCAGCAAAGCCUCCGCUGAGGGAAGCUAGCGGCCAACACCCCUCCCCCAUGAUGGGUCGUCUGGGCUCAUCUUCUUCUUCCGCCACCCACGCUGAAUUUCUCUGAUUUGAACUGAAUUGUGAUAAAGAUGAUAAGGGCAGUGACUGAGAAAUGGGUUCUCUCUCCCUCUCUCUCUCUCUCUCUGUGAUCCCGAGUCCAAAGGAGAAAAAGAUCUAAUUCAGUUCCUGCUGUUACGC